rnacentral:rRNA from 1 species
CGGGUGCGUAACACGUAUGCAACCUACCUUUAACUGGGGGAUAGCCUUCCGAAAGGAAGAUUAAUACCGCAUAACAUAGUGAAAUGGCAUCAUUUUAUUAUUAAAACUCCGGUGGUUAAAGAUGGGCAUGCGUAUCAUUAGCUAGUUGGUGAGGUAAUGGCUCACCAAGGCUACGAUGAUUAGGGGGUCUGAGAGGAUGAUCCCCCACACUGGUACUGAGACACGGACCAG